GUGUGAAGGUGCUGCAUGGUUGUCGUCAGCUCGUGCCGUGAGGUGUCGGCUUAAGUGCCAUAACGAGCGCAACCCUUGCCAUUAGUUACUAACAGGUCAUGCUGGGGACUCUACCGGGACUGCCAUCGUAAGAUGUGAGGAAGGUGGGGAUGACGUCAAAUCAGCACGGCCCUUACGUCCGGGGCUACACACGUGUUACAAUAGGAGGUACAGAAGGCUGCUACCCGGCGACGGGAUGCCAAUCCCCAAAACCUCUCUCAGUUCGGAUUGGAGUCUGCAACCCGACUCCACGAAGCUGGAUUCGCUAGUAAUCGCGCAUCAGCCAUGGCGCG
rnacentral:rRNA from 1 species